AGAGGCUUCGGUGGAAAAUGGACUUGUAAGCCGGUUUCCAAAAGUUUAAAGCUUUGUUGAAUGUGAUUUCACCGUAUAGAAGUUGUGUGAAAAUACCAGAUAUAAUAAAAAAAGGUUUUAGGGAGGUCAGUUUGUGUAAGUGAUGGCAGAUUGUAGUCCUGAUUUGCUGAGCCAAUGAUUUUAAAAGUUUGUUGAACACUUGCUUCAAGGUGGUUACUACAGGCUGUUUACCUGUGAUUGGGAUAACUUCAUAGGAAGCCUUCAUAAUUCAUCGUUCUCUUAAUUUUUGAGGGUCAUGAUACUGACUAAAUAUCAGUGUAAGGUGUGCAGCUACUCGGGAUUUUAAAAGUUAUCGAGUCUUCAUUUUGCAUUUACAUUCUUCCUGCAGUGAGAGCAUCCCCUGAAAAUGCCACUUGUCUGAGAUAAUAGAAAGCAUUUGGAAGUACAAACUGCAGUUACGGGAGAUAUUAGGAUUCCGUAUUAAGUAGUAACCUGCGUUAUUUCAUGGAUGGAAACUGUUCUAGUGGAGAUUAAUCAAGUUUCGGAUGGAAACUGUUCUAGUGGAGAUUAAUCAAGUUACACGAAAGCGAAGUAACUUGGAUAUUAUGAUCUCUGAUGAAGAGCAGUUCUAAUGUACCCAAGACUGAAGUGGGCUGCAAGCGCAGCUAAGCCGUGGUGGGGGAGCACGGGUGGAAAGUCUCUUCAGAUAAAUGAGUCAUAUUAAGAGAUAAGUUUUUAGUAAAGUUAACUCUACUAGUAAACGCAACAAACUAAAAAACUAAAAACCAAGAGUAAUUUAAAUGAUUAUGAAUAAGCCAAAGCAAAGAUAUUUCUAGUUUACUGGACCGUAUGAUAAUUUUCUUUUAGUUUGGAUGGACGAACAUUUCCAAAUUGGGGCGAGGUAAAAAAUAAACUACAGAAGGUGAAUGGUUGAAUUUAAAAAAAAAAUAUAUAUAACAUUACGCUUGGAGAAAAUCCUCCGUAUCUACUGCUGACGAUCUCCUUACAAGAAAAAUCAUAUACCAGCCGUUUCGUGUCUAUAUCGUUUGAACAACAUUCAUCAGACGAAAAGUGACUACCAAACACCAGUUGAUUUCACCUCUUUUCUUUCCCUUGAAGCCAAGAAAUACUGUUAACCACAUCUGCUUCACCCCACAAAACAAUUGCUUUAGAUCCCGCAACUGUCGCAUGAUCAUUGAUUUGAAGGGGAUUCCACCUGUCGUCUACUGCCGCUUCAAUUAUUGGAUGCUGCACGUCUUUUGCUGCGAAGAUGUAAUCUAUAAUGGCUUGGUUGACAUUCCCGAGACGUUAUUGAAGAUCAUCCAAACUGGUCUACUUCUACCUCUUCACUAAGCUUGCAAAAUUUCUUAAAACGGCAGUGUUGUCUAUUUUCAGAUAAUCCAAGUAAAAUGAAGUACAAAAAGCGAAGAACUGCUUUAUGUGCACUGCAUAUCUUUGCCCUUCAAAAUGUAUGAAAAGUUAACUCCUGCUGGAAAACAAAACAUGACUGCUUCUUGCUUCUCAUUGAUUGGGCGACAGAACUGAGAUGUAAAGCUCCAACAGCCGCCUAUGAAGGAGAAUCGAGAUUUAAAGCUUCAACAACUGCUGAAGGAGAACAGAUUUAAAGCUUUAACAACUGCUUAAGAAGUCACCAUGUCUGCUGCUUGCCCAUCACUGAUAUGAUAAGUUCUUCAGGUGGAUGUUUUGGGGAAAACACUGCUACUUGCCCUUCUCUGUUUAGCAAAACUUCUCAAACUGAUGCCACAGCUGUUGAGACUUUCGUCCUCACUCCCUGCUCUUCAGUGAGGGGA